rnacentral:rRNA from 1 species
CUACGGGGGGCAGCAGUGAGGAAUAUUGCACAAUGGGGGGAACCCUGAUGCAGCAACGCCGCGUGGAGGAUGACGCAUUUCGGUGUGUAAACUCCUUUUAUAUGUCAAGAAAAUGACGGUAGCAUAUGAAUAAGCACCGGCUAGACUCCGUGCCAGCAGCCGCGGUAAUACGGAGGGUGCAAGCGUUACUCGGAAUCACUGGGCGUAAAGGACGCGUAGGCGGGUUGGAAAGUCAGGUGUGAAAUCCUGCAGCGUAACUGUAGAACUGCACUUGAAACUUCUAAUCUAGAGUAUGGGAGGGGGAGAUGGAAUUAGUGGUGUAGGGGUAAAAUCCGUAGAUAUCACUAGGAAUACCUAAAGCGAAGGCGAUCUCCUGGAACAUUACUGACGCUAAGGCGUGAAAGCGUGGGGAGCAAACAGGAUUAGAUACCCCCGUAGUC